GCCAGCAGCCAUAUCACCCUGUAGCCCAAGACUGGUUGCCCACUGAAGCUAAGCAGGGCUGAGCCUGGUCAGUACCGGGAUGGGAGACCUCCUGGGAAAACUAGGUUGCUGCUGGAA
rnacentral:rRNA from 1 species